rnacentral:rRNA from 1 species
GAGAGUUUGAUCCUGGCUCAGAGCGAACGCUGGCGGCGUGCUUAACACAUGCAAGUCGAGUGCGCAGUCUGCUGUAGCAAUACAGCAGGCCGGCGCACGGCGCACGGGUGCGUAACACGUGGGUAACCUGCCCUCCAAAGGGGGAUAACCCGCCGAAAGGCGGGCUAAUACCGCAUGACAUUCCGGUGACUUCGGUCGCCGGAAUCAAAGCUCGUAAGGGCGUUGGAGGAGGGGCCCGCGGCCGAUUAGCUUGUUGGCGAGGUAAUGGCUCACCAAGGCUUUGAUCGGUAGCCGGUCUGAGAGGAUGGCCGGCCACACUGGAACUGAGACACGGUCCAGACUCCUACGGGAGGCAGCAGUGGGGAAUCUUGCGCAAUGGGCGAAAGCCUGACGCAGCGACGCCGCGUGGGGGAUG